GGAAAUAAGUUAUCAAAGAGGAAUGUUCCUCCAGCUCCAGAUUUAGAGUUGUUCCUAUACCCAUCAUCUCCACUCAAUGAUAAUAGCACAGGAGGUAUAGGUUCAUUAGCGUCACCCUCUGAAAAUAUAUGUACAGAAAUUUGGCCAAGCUUCUGGCAAGAAAAGGAAUAAGGUCCAAUACGUUUAAGAUGAUAGCCAGGCUUUGAAGUCUCAACUCUGUACGUUAUAUCAUCAUAUAA
rnacentral:misc_RNA from 1 species